rnacentral:rRNA from 1 species
AUGCCCUUCUACAACGUCGUGUCCACGACCAGCAGGAGGCCGCCGCUCGCCUCGCGCCUUUGCUGCCGACGACCGAGGCCGCUGGGGUAUGCCCGCAGUCACCCAGUGCCGCCUUGCACCGCUCCUCUCCCUCGCGUUGCCCGACGACCCUGCUGGCUUCGCUGGAGCGCUCUGCCGCGCCAAGUCCUCGCCGACCUUCCUCUGCGUGCCCGCAAGCUCCACCGACCGCGUGUGUGCCUUUCGCUAUCGGAUAUGCCAAGAUCGCCCAGUCCAAGACCACCACAAGUCCGUCUACACAAACCUGCCAAGUACCUCUACGUAUCGGAUGUCGACAAGUAA